CCUACGGGCGGCAGCAGUGGGGAAUAUUGCGCAAUGGGCGAAAGCCUGACGCAGCGACGCCGCGUGAGGGAUGAAGGUCUUCGGAUCGUAAACCUCUGUCAGCAGGGAAGAACGGUCACUGUGCUAAUCAGCAGUGAAUUGACGGUACCUGCAAAGGAAGCACCGGCUAACUCCGUGCCAGCAGCCGCGGUAAUACGGAGGGUGCGAGCGUUAAUCGGAAUGACUGGGCGUAAAGCGCUCGUAGGCGGUAUGUCAAGUCAAGGGUGAAAUCCCCGGGCUCAACGUGGGAACUGCAUUUGAAACUGGCAAACUGGAGUGUGGGAGAGGAUAGUGGAAUUCCAGGUGUAGGGGUGAAAUCCGUAGAUAUCUGGAGGAACAUCAGUGGCGAAGGCGACUAACUGGAACAUAACUGACGCUGAGGAGCGAAAGCGUGGGUAGCAAACAGGAUUAGAUACCCCGGUAGUC
rnacentral:rRNA from 1 species